rnacentral:misc_RNA from 1 species
UUUCCGUAGGUGAACCUGCGGAAGGAUCAUUAUCCAUCUUAACCAGGUGCGUUCGCGGCCCUCGAGGGUUCUCUCUCGGGUGGUAGGGGUAACACCCUCACGCGUCGCAUUUCUGAAUCCUUUUUUUACGAGCACCUUUCGUUCUCCUUCGGUGGGGCAACCUGCCGCUGGAACUUAACAAAACCUUUUUUUGCAUCUAGCAUUACCUGUUCUGAUACAAACAAUCGUUACAACUUUCAACAAUGGAUCUCUUGGCUCUGGCAUCGAUGAAGAACGCAGC